rnacentral:lncRNA from 1 species
GUCCAGAGGAGAAGCCCGAUGCUGAACAGAGAAUCACAUCCGUGAGCAACACAAAAGGCAAGGCAAACCCUGGGCAGAUGCCCCCGGGACUGUGUGUUAUGGGCCUACAGGAAGCCUCUCCCAAUGAAAAAGCAAUUUUUCAGCCAGAACCUCCACCAGUGUCUUUCAAACUGUCUCAAUCAAAAACCUCUGAAAGCCACUGGCCUAGAGUUAGAGGAAGAGUUAGCCAUGAGAAAUGGUGGUGACACAGGUUCCAAAAGAAGAAACAAUAGGUAUCAGGCUCAGAGAUGAAAGGGCUAGAAGGAGGACACACCAAGUUCAAGGUCUGGCCUUUCUCGAGGGCAGUGGGGAGCCAUGGGAG